rnacentral:sRNA from 1 species
GUCUCAGAGCCACUCGACC